CGCCCUCGGAGAGUGUAGUAAGCACUGCGCAGCGGUGACAUUUUACAUCAACCUGCACAAGGACGCGUCGUGUACGAGCGGCCCAGUCAUGGGGAAAACCAUCGGCAAAGCCCGACCAUGACGACAAAGUGCCACUGAGAAAGCUGUUUGGAGGUGGCACAAGGAACGUAAAGUGCGCAUCAGCAGCACAGCAGCUCAUACCAUUUUGCGUACCCGCAGAGGCCCUAGAGAAAUUCUUCGCAGCCUCCUCAAGUGUAAUUUUUUUUCGUCCGAGGCUACAACAUAUGGUAUGUUUUAAGAUUGUUGGAUCUAAGCGAUACGAAUUACAUGUAUGUGUUUUAUAGUAGGAAUACAUAUGGAGCCUGUGGCCAGGAAGGAAUUUGAGCAGCAGCGUAGUGUUACGGUGACAGAGGUGGGCCUGCUACUUCAUCUGCAACAGCCAUGGCUUUGUGGAAGUCCUGACGGAAUUUUUUCCCUCUCUGGCGAGACGUGCUUGCUCGAAAUAAAGUGCCCGCACAAUUGCGUAGA
rnacentral:lncRNA from 1 species